rnacentral:rRNA from 1 species
AAGCGUUAUCCGGAUUCACUGGGUUUAAAGGGUGCGUAGGAGGGCAGGUAAGUCAGUGGUGAAAUCUCCGAGCUUAACUCGGAAACUGCCGUUGAUACUAUCUGUCUUGAAUACCGUGGAGGUGAGCGGAAUAUGUCAUGUAGCGGUGAAAUGCUUAGAUAUGACAUAGAACACCAAUUGCGAAGGCAGCUCACUACACGAGCAUUGACUCUGAGGCACGAAAGCGUGGGGAUCAAACAGG